CUACGGGGCGCAGCAGUGGGGAAUAUUGCACAAUGGAGGAAACUCUGAUGCAGCAACGCCGCGUGGAGGAUGACACUUUUCGGAGCGUAAACUCCUUUUAUAUAGGAAGAAGAUGACGGUACUAUAUGAAUAAGCGCCGGCUAACUCCGUGCCAGCAGCCGCGGUAAUACGGAGGGCGCAAGCGUUACUCGGAAUCACUGGGCGUAAAGAGCGUGUAGGCGGAUUAAAAAGUCAGAAGUGAAAUCCUAUAGCUUAACUAUAGAACUGCUUCUGAAACUCUUAAUCUAGAAUAUGGGAGAGGUAGAUGGAAUUUCUGGUGUAGGGGUAAAAUCCGUAGAGAUCAGAAGGAAUACCGAUUGCGAAGGCGAUCUACUAGAACAUUAUUGACGCUGAGGCUCGAAAGCGUGGGGAGCAAAUAGGAUUAGAUACCCCUGUAGUC
rnacentral:rRNA from 1 species